GUGAAGUCACAAAACAGGGACCUCACACUACUACACAAUACAAGUGUUUAAGACAAAAUAUUAAUGUUUAAAUAUUAGUUUCCCUGACAGGACUCAAUUUGUGUAGAUCAGGUUUUCCAGAGGACGACACCCUUGAUCAAGUUGAUGUUGUUGAUGGCAAUCUGCGCACUUACUUCACCUUGGAUAGAACGAUUUCGAAUUUUCUGCAGCUUUUCUAUUAAAUCAAGUGUUUUUGAAAAUGUCACUGAUUCGUUUAAUGUCUAUCGCUCUGUGCACAGAUCAUGACAGACCCAGAUGCCCCUAGUCCCAGGGACCCUGUUGGAUGUGAGUAUCUAUACAUUGGUAUAUUGCAAUGCUUUUCACAUGUCUUCUCAUUCCGGGUUCAUUCAAGAAAUUAACCCUAUUCAGCCGACCCGGUGACAUUUAGUUAGAGAUAGCAUUUAAUAAUCUGCCUGGAGGAGUUACAGAGUGCAAAAUUCCGAAUGACCAGUCGCAUAGAUUAAUUUGGCAUUCACAACUGUUUGUGGAAGAACGCUUGCAAAAGUAAAAGUGUUGGAUUGACAGCCUACUCCCUCACUGUGCAUUUUAUAAUACACGUUCAAGGCCGCCUCAAAAAACCAAUGCUUGGUAUAAGCUGAAAUCAUGGUGUUCCACGAAGCCACAUCUCGUUGGGGAGUUGCAUGAGAAAAUUGCAGAGCCUCAUCAAGGCUUCCAUUCUGUACAUAUCCCGCAAUCAUUGAAUUCCAUGAGACCGCGUCUUUUUGAGAUGGCACCUUAACUACUAUUCAGACAUUGAUUUCUACUAGCUUAUGUGGAAUUGUGCAUUCCUCGAUUGUUGGACAACCCCUGUUGAUUCUUGGAGUUGGAGAAUCCACAACUCUUAUGUUAUCAGUUUUGGGAGAGGUUUCUUACAUUAUUCAUUGCACCAUCACGGAGAAUUAAAAAAUACAGGAGCGUAAUAUUGAUGUUCUAGAUAUAUUGGAAGGCAUGAACGAGUAUAUCGAUGAUGCUGAAAUGUUGGAUGAAAUGACUACUAGGAGCCGUUGUUAAUUGAAACAUUGGCCUCUAUGAUUUUGAUUUGUUUGGAAUUUUUUUUCAGGCUUUCUUUAUUGAAUAAUAUGCAAUAAAUUACUUCCAAGAUUGGAAAGAGUUGGUUUUAGGAUCCACUCUAAGUGUUUGAUGAAAUUUAGUUAGCAAGAGGGCAGUUUGAAUUUGCGGAUUGAUGACUUACACCUGAUUUGCAUUGAACAUGUUCACAAGGGUCACAUGUUCUCAACCAUUACUCAGACUUAAAACUCACUACUAAACCAAAGGGUGUUUGAGACCCAAGAUUCUGAAGGGUAAAACUAUUCUUUAAAGGGUGCUAGCUUAAUGGAAGAGCACCUGCUUUACAAGCAGGAGGAUGGUGGUUCAAUUCCAUCAUGCCCUAACAUGAAUUAAUCAAUGAUAUUGUAGUUUACAUUUAAAAAUAUUGAUUUAUCUGAAUAGUGAGCUUUUUUUAAAAAUAUAUUGUUUUAUAUCAUCUCUAGAGAGACAAAAGUGGUAUUCUCUCUAAUGAGAAUAUUUGUAUCAUCUUAAGAAAGACAAUAAGUGGCAUUAAAGACAUAUUUGUCUCUAUAGAGACAAUAUUUUUUUAUUAUCGGUAUAGAGACAAAAAUACAAUUGUCACUCGAGACAAUA